rnacentral:tRNA from 1 species
CGGCCUGGACCGGCUGGACCGGGCGGUGCUGCUGGCGCUGCUCAAGCUGUUCGGCGGCGGCCCGGUCGG